UGGGACUUUCUCUUAAACGUACUCAGGAAGAUGGGAUUUGGAGAUAGGUGACUGAAAUGGAUUAGUUUUCGUAUAAAAAUGUCAGGUUCUCUAUUUUGGUGAAUGGAGAACUUGUGGGGGUUUUUUCUUCUGAAAAGGUGUCCAUUUUCACCUUUUCUAUUCGUAAUAGCCAUGGAAGGACUUAAUAGCAUGAUGAGGAUUGCUAUUCAUAAUGGGUGGUUUAAAGGCUUCAAACUCAACAACAAGGCAGGUAGGAAUUUAGAAAUAUGUCAAUUGCUUUAUGCAGAUGAUACUGUGAUCUUCUGUGAGGCUAAAGCAGAACAAAUUAGCUACAUCAGGGUGAUAGUAUUUACUUUUGAGGCUAGUUUGAGUGUCAACUGGAGGAAAAGCAGCUUAUUUCCUAUUAAGGAAGUGGUACAGAUGACGGGGCUGGCCAAUAUCUUGGGGUGUAAGAAUAGAAAAACUUCCUAUUGUUUAUUUGGGCAUGCCCUUAGGCAAUAAACACAAGGACCUGGAGAUAUGGUAUGGGAUAAUUUAAAAGACAGAAAAACAAAUGAUAAGAAAAGCAUGUAGGAUACUAGAAAUCGUGGUGGCAAAAUGAAUCAUGGACUAUGGUUUGGGGAUGCUUUUGUUAUUUUACUGUCGUACCUGCAGGUCUUUUGCAAAAACCUUCUCAUUCACAUCUCUUGUUACAAGGAGUAAGAUAGGUUCCUGAAAAUUUUACCACGGAGUAAAGUAUGAUCUGGUGAAGUGCCAUUUCCGCCUUCAAGUGCUUAUGUGGCAAGUUCCCACCAUUUAUUAUUCUCUUCUCUUUCUUUCGCUUUAUCAUUUUCCGAUACCCACCCACCCACAAAUUCUUUCUCCUUUGCCACUGCCACCUCUCCCUUCUCCACAAAAUCCUCUUCCUCUUCCUCCUUCCAUUAAUCUCCCCCCAGCAGCAGGAGCUACCCCUCAUCCUUGUCCUUCUUCACUUUCCGUCUUGCCCAUCCUGUUUAUCUCCUUUACCAGCUACCACUACCCCUGCCAGCCUUCUUCUCCUCUCCCUUCUUGCUCUUUCUCAUACACGUCACCACCUCUUCCUCCUCCUUCCCUCCCAUCUCCUUUUAUGCCAGUUCACUAAUGCCACUCCCCUUCUCCUUUCCUCUUUCUAUAACUUUUUCUCUUCAACUGGGGCAAUUUUGUUACGUUUUAAAAUAGAUAGAUGGUGAACUUGCCACAAAUAAUUGAAAGGGAACUACAAAUCAAUUAUUUGGAGGGUAUUAAGAAUAUUUUUGCACUGGAUCCUUUUAACAAAAGAUUUUAAAUUAAUAUCUCAAGCUGUGCUUGUAAAUGCUAUGAAAAUUGGAAAUUUCUUGUUUGUUCUUGCUUAGUUGGAACCUUAAGGGGUGUCGUAGAAGGUGCCUUUCAAAUGACAAGGUAGGUACCUGAAGAUGGUAUCAGUUGAACUUACAGCUAAUACACCCAGCCCCUUGCAAAAAUGAAACUCUCAACUUCUUGCUGAUGAGCCCAACUAUAGCUAUACUGGCUUGGUGGCUUUGUAUUUUACCAACUUCAAAGUGGGGUAAUUAUUUGUUCUUAUGAUCUAGUGGGAAAUUCUCUCGACAUGUGCCAAAACUAUAAAUACUGAUGGUACUAGCCAAACAAUUCUAUGGAUGCUAUAUACUAAUUUACAAUAGGUAAUGGGCGAACUGUCGAUCCUAAAUUAUUUUUGGGUGUCGGGGUUGUAGUGUUUUCAUCAUAUUUUACUAUGGUAUCAAGUUCUGGGCUAGUUAGUCCAAGAAAUUUCUGGCAGAUGAGCAGUGACCCUUUAAGUAAGUUAUUAUUCUGUGUUUGCUGCAAAACGUCAUUUAUUUAGUGAUUAAGUCCUUAUUAUAUAAUCUUUUGACCAUUGUACAAUGUGUUUUGAUAUACAAAUAUCAACCAUCACAUAAAAAUAAUAUGGGUUGAGAAAUUACAGUCCUCUUCCCUCUCAUAGAAAAGGUUAUGGAAAAGUAGCCCAGUGCGAACUCUGCUUUUUCGCACCAGUCUCAGCUAUGUUUAGUCCAUCUAAUUCCGCCACUUCAGAUACGAACCAAAGGUAGGAUAAAUGAGUUCAGGGACUGUAACCCCAUUUGUCCUUUGUUGUACCUAUGAACAAAAUAAUCCCUUCUGACUGAAACUUCUACUAUAAAUUUUGUGACAUCCCCUAAAGUUGCAUUUUUUUUUCUCCCUUUCCUUUUAUGCAGAAACGGCUCUUUUUUGGACGAAACGAAGAAACUUUACAUGCUUCAACAGAAUGAAUCACGUGCAGCGAUUUCUGUUACUAAAAUGUAUUCCGGGAAGAGAAAAAGAAGAUGAAAAGUUGGUGGAAGUGUCGGACAAGGUAAUUUUGGAGGUGGAUAUGGUGGUGGGAAUAGUGGAAAUUACAACGCUAGUGUUUCCAGUGGUAAUGAUCUGUUCAACAACUCUGAAUUUGGUGGGAGCUCUGGGACCUCGCACAAUGGUGAGCAGCUUAGUGCAGACCGAGGGACUGAAUCUGAAGGAUGAUUUCACACCAAGGUGCAGAAGGAAGUUACAGAGAUGAAAAUGAUGAGCCAAAUGACUAUGCUAACUCCAGGGACUAAUAUUAUGUCCUUCCAUGCCAUUCAAGAACUUUACUUUGGCACAAGUACAUGUGUUUGAGGCAUAGAAAGUAUAUUCUAUUUCCAGCAGGGUUGCUACUGAUUGUGUGCUUCACCUAGUUUUAUGUAUGUGUAGGAUUAAAUGGUUAACUCUUUUUACAU